UUUGGGAUGGUAAUUUGAGCCGUUGCUUUAGAGUUUGGGAGCCAUGCUAAUAUGUUUGCAUUUUCCUUAUAUAUAGACAUGCUAUUUUUUUCCCAUUUUGAUUGUAUCGAACUUGAUGUUGGAGAGGUCCUUUUGAAACAUGCUUUUUAUUCUUAUGGUAGAAUUUAGGAGGGGGCAGAUGAAGUAGGGUUUUUUCAGAAUAUGUUUUCAUGUGUUCCUGGCAGCAGUUCACAGAUUUGUUUUCUUGUGAUUCUUGGUUUUGGCAUUCAUCAUCUCAGUUGUCCAAUGCACAAGGCUGGCUAUUUUAUCAGAGCCCUUCCCCACUGGCUAGGUUUGAAGAGCCUUUGAGGCUCUCCAAAGAGUACAUUUGAACCUUCCUUCUCAUGAAAUCCAGCUGCAUAAAAAAGCAAUUCCCUUCAUCAAGAACUCUGCAGCCCAAGCAAUUGCAGAAGAGCACCUCCCUCCUUCAGAUUCCUCCAUCAUCUCUCCUCAAUCAAGGUCGAAAAAGUUGCUUGAUAGCUCAAGGAAUCCCUUUGAGGGUACCACGGAUUUUGAAGGACAGUUGCAGGAGUUAUUUGAUGAAGUGA